rnacentral:misc_RNA from 1 species
AAGUCGUAACAAGGUUUCCGUAGGUGAACCUGCGGAAGGAUCAUUACUGAGUUAGGGUCUUCCAGGCCCGAUCUCCAACCCUAUGUUUACUUAUACCAUGUUGCUUCGGCGGGCCCGCUCCUCCGGGAGCCGCCGGGGUGUUCAUACCACCUCUGGCCCGUUGCCCGUCGAUGGCCAACCUUCAAACUCUUGAUAAAACAUGUCGUCUGAGUUAAUGAUAAAUUAAUCAUUUAAAA